UUCGUGAUCAGGUUCAUUCGC
rnacentral:miRNA from 1 species